UGUGGUGGAAUUCACAGGGCGUUGGGUUUGGAGGGAUGGGAAUGGGAGCCUGGCAGGGCAGGCUGCUGGCUGCAUCGCCAGCAAGGUCUGGGUUUGCUCUGGUUGGGAUUUGGAUCUCGCAGUCUGGGGAGGGGGCAGCUCCUGGUGGGACAUGGGGUGUGCAGCGCCCCUCACCCUGCUGACCCCGUGGGCUGCUGGGGGUGCUGGCUGUCACUGCUGCCCAUCCCCUCGGCUGCUGUCAGGGCAGUGGGCAGUGUGGCUGGGAAAGCUGUGCUUGUUCCAGAACAUGAGCUUGAAGACAGAAUGUGUUCGGGGUGCAGGGUCUGAGCCAGCUCCGCCCAGACAGCCCCUGAGCACCCAGUGACUCGAUGCUUUGCUGGGGAAUCGUCUUCUAUCAGAGCAGCCGUGGCUUUCCUGGAGGUUUCGGCAUUAAAGGAAACACCCUCCCCCUGCAGCACCAGGGAUGCCUCUCACAACGGGCCCUGCCCGUGCUGUGCCCCCCUCCUGCUGCCCGAGCCAGGGAUUUUCCAUUGCAAGCCCUCCUGUGGCUCCCAGCGCUGUUACUGCCGCUGUGUGCUAAUACAGAAAUAUUCUGGCCAGGCCUCCCUCGAGUUCAAGGUAAUACGUGUGGGUAACUGCUCAUGCAGUUUCCCUUUAUAAUCAUUACUUGUGCAAAUUAUUCAUUAAUGGAAAAGUAUACAGAAAGCCUUCGGGGACCUGCUGCUUGAAUAAGCCUGUAAAAUGCCCUUUGUAAAUAGCACAACAGAAAUGCUGUUACUAAGCUCAUUGCUCAGGUUUCCACUGAACUAAUGAGAAGUUUAAAUCGACGUUUACAGCUUUCAGGAGCGUGGGGGGGCAUCUUGGGCCUGUGCAGCAGUGCUGCUGCAGAAAUAUGUUUGAACUUCUUAGCCAAACGUGUGGGGCAAACGCUGCCUGCUCAGACUGUGGUGCCAGUGCCCAUGGUGUGCACCGCAGCUCCUGCCUGCACCGGGUGCUGGGCUCCAUCCCUGGGAGAGGUGCGAGGUGUGGGGUGCUGGGGGGCAGCCGUGGCUCCGGGGGGCUGCAGGGCUGGGGCUGUGCUGGGAGCUGUGCCUGAGCAGCUCGCAGUGAGCUCAGUGAUGCUCAGCCCCGGCUGCUCCCCGCUGGCACUGCUCCUGCCUGAGGACAGCAGGUAUCUGGGGCAGCUGCUGAUGUUUUUUCCCUACAUAAUGCGUUUUUGGCGAUAGCAAAAGAUCUUUGCUGCUGAAGUGUGUCACCUGCCCCCAAAUGCAGCUAUGACAUAACGCAGGGCUGUGCAGGCUCGAGCACUCGCUUUGUUUUCCACGCUCGGCAAUGCGACAUUGCCCGGUGUCCCCCUCUCCCGUGCCUCCAGUUAUGGCCGGGGCCGCAUCAGCUCCUGCUGUCGGCUGGGAGAGGACCUGGGAGCUGUGCUUCUCCCCCAGGGGUGUGGGGAGAUGAAUUUUCCAUGGGGGAAUUGAUUUUUGCAUGUCUGCAAAGCCUCUCGGAGCACAAGAGAGGAAUGAAAACGCUUACUUCAAAGGCAGGGCCGAGAGAUGAUUUUAAACGCUCACGAAAUGCUGCUGGAGCCUGGCUGGGCUGCGGCCCCUGGGGAGCGGGGGGUGCCUGUGGCUGCACAGCCCGGCCCAGAAUCCUGCUGAGCUUGCGGCCAGGAGCCGUGCCCUGGGCUGCUGGGUUUUCCCUUCUGGUCCCGGUGCUGUCACAUACAGAAAACCAGUGCCCCUCCAAGCGCUGAGCCUUCCCGUGGAGCAGGAGCUCCUGUCCCCAGGUCUGGGCCCUGUCGCCAGCAGCCGGGGGCCAGCCCCAGCCGCGUUUGCUCAGCUGAGCGUCCCCUGGAGCUGUUCCAUCCCCGGCACUUGCAGCUGCUGCUUUCCACAGCCUCUCAGCGCUUCUGCUUUGUGGACAGAUUGCAUCAUUAAAUGUUUCUGUAAUUGGGGCCCAGCCAGAGCCACGUUAGAUAUUCGUAAAAGCCCUUAAAAUAAAUAAUAAAAAAAAGUA